GACGAACCGUGCGAACGUUAUUCGGAAUCACUGGGCUUAAAGCGCGUGUAGGCGGGUCGGCGCGUCGGCCGCUGAAAUCCCCCGGCUCAACCGGGGAAGGGGCGCCGAGACGGCCGGCCUGGAGGGACGUAGGGGGGGCUGGAACUUCCGGUGGAGCGGUGAAAUGCGUUGAGAUCGGAAGGAACGCCCGUGGCGAAAGCGAGCCCCUGGACGUCUACUGACGCUGAGACGCGAAAGCCAGGGGAGCGAACGGG
rnacentral:rRNA from 1 species